rnacentral:tRNA from 1 species
GGCUAUGUAGCUCAGUGGCAGAGCACUCGCCCGCAAGCGAGAUACAUGGGGUUCGAUUCCCUGUCUAGUCU